CAGGAUCUCACCUGGAUUUCAACUCUGGACUUUAAAUUCCCCAAUGGCAAGGGACAAGAAGAGGAGGCUCAGAGGUUAAAUAACUUCCCAAGGCCACUGGGUAAGAAACCGUGGGAUCUGAAUGCAGCUGAGGCUGUUGGAUGCCAGAGCCUAGACACAGAGCACAGCCUCAUUCUUCAGCCUCCCAGGUCCUCUAACGCAGUGUGUCCAGAGCUGAGCCCGCCUAGAACUGCCUUCCUUUUCUCAGACACCUGGGAGACGUCCUAGACUCCAUCUUCUCUGUUGCCGCAAAACAUAACCAGUUGCUUCUUGAGUCUUUCUGUGAUGUGCACCUGCCUCCAUCCCAUGGCCACUGCCUCAGUGUCAAGGCCCUCAUGAACUCUCAUCUUUGUAUUUGCAAGAACCUCCCCACAAGCCCCCUCCAAGCUACCUUCCACAGAGCAACUAAAGAAAUCUAACUAGAAUAUUAAUGGUCACAGCUUAAUACCACCAUCUCCUCCCAGCGUGCUCAGGGGUUCCCCAUGGCCUGCGGGGUUGGUCUCCCAGCUCAGGAGGCCCUUCAUAAUCAGGCCUUCCUCACCUCUCUGGCUUCUUCCUGGCAACUUGGCUCCAGCUAUGCCAAAUUACCUGUGGUCCCCCAAGCACAGUAUACCCUUUCACAAUUCUGUGUCUUUACUGUGCUGUUCCUCCUGCCAGCAAUACCCUUCCUUGUCUUCUCUAUCCAACAAACUCUUAUUCAUCCCUCAAAACCCUGAUAUGGCAUCUUCUCCCUUAUUCUGAAGCUUUUUCUGACCUCCCAAAGACAAAGGGUUUAAUACCUCCAGCAACACAGCCCUGCACUGUAAUGAAAGGGCUGGCUCCCCUAGAAAG
rnacentral:antisense_RNA from 1 species